AUACGGAGGGUGCAAGCGUUACUCGGAAUCACUGGGCGUAAAGCGCGCGCAGGCGGCUUGAUAAGUUGGAUGUGAAAGCCUACGGCUCAACCGUAGAACUGCAUCCAAAACUGUCAAGCUAGAGUGUGGGAGAGGAAGAUGGAAUUAGUUGUGUAGGGGUAAAAUCCGUAGAGAUAACUAGGAAUACCAAAAGCGAAGGCAAUCUUCUGGAACACUACUGACGCUGAGGCGCGAAAGCGUGGGGAGCAAACGGGAUUAGAUACCCUAGUAGUCC
rnacentral:rRNA from 1 species